rnacentral:misc_RNA from 1 species
CCAAUAGCGUAUAUUAAAGUUGUUGUGGUUAAAAAGCUCGUAGUUGAACCCUGGGCCUGGCUGGCCGGUCCGCCUCACCGCGUGUACUGGUCCGGCCGGGCCUUUCCCUCUGUGGAACCCCAUGCCCUUCACUGGGUGUGGCGGGGAAACAGGACUUUUACUUUGAAAAAAUUAGAGUGCUCCAGGCAGGCCUAUGCUCGAAUACAUUAGCAUGGAAUAAUAGAAUAGGACGUUUGGUUCUAUUUUGUUGGUUUCUAGGACCGCCGUAAUGAUUAAUAGGGACAGUCGGGGGCAUCAGUAUUCAAUUGUCAGAGGUGAAAUUCUUGGAUUUAUUGAAGACUAACUACUGCGAAAGCAUUUGCCAAGGAUGUUUUCAUUAAUCAGGAACGAAAGUUAGGGGAUCGAAGACGAUCAGAUACCGUCGUAGUCUUAACCAUAAACUAUGCCGACUAGGGAUCGGACGAUGUUAUUUUUUGACUCGUUCGGCACCUUACGAGAAACCAAAGUGUUUGGGUC